rnacentral:misc_RNA from 1 species
UCCUGGUUUCCCAGGCAGUCCCACUAGAGUGCUUUCUCACGAAAUAGCAACUAAUGGCAAGGGUUGCGCUCGUUAAAGGACUUAACCCAACAUCUCACGACACGAGCUGACGACAGCCAUGCAGCACCUGUGUAUAUGUCUGAAGCAAGCUCCAGAGACCCAUGUUUCUAUGGUAGUCAUAUACAUGUCAAGCCUAGGUAAGGUUCCUCGCGUAUUGUCGAAUUAAACCACAUGUUCCACCGCUUGUGCGGACCCCCGUCAAUUCCUUUGAGUUUUAAUCUUGCGAUCGUAUUCCCCAGGCGGAUCACUUAACGCGUUAGCUUCGACACUAACCCUGCAAGCAGGGCCAACAUCCAGUGAUCAUCGUUUACAGCGUGGACUAC